GAUGAACGCUAGCUACAGGCCUAACACAUGCAAGUCGAGCGACAGGCGCACGGGUGAGUAACACGUCACCAACCUUCCCUUUACUCGUGGAUAGCUUUUCGCAUUAACGAAUACUACACAACACAAUGGGUCGGGAUGGGUUGCAUUAGGUUGUUGGUGAUGUAACGGCUAGCCAAGCCUUCGAUGGAUAGGUGUUCUGAGAGCAAGGUCCCCCACAUUGGAACUGAGGUACAGUCCAAACUCCUAGGGGAGGGAGGAGUGAGGAAUAUUGGUCAAUGGGCGGUAGCCUGACCCAGCCAAGUAGCGUGAAGAAUGAAGGCUUAUGGGUCGUAAACUUCUUUUAUAUAAGAAUAUGUAUUAUAUGAAUAAGGAUCGGCUAACUACGUGCCAGCCGCCGCGGUAAUAC
rnacentral:rRNA from 1 species